UACUGAGUGCUUAUAAUGUGCCAGGUA
rnacentral:piRNA from 1 species